rnacentral:rRNA from 1 species
CAGUCGCCGCGGGAAUACGUAGGGUGCAAGCGUUAAUCGGAAUUACUGGGCGUAAAGCGUGCGCAGGCGGUUCGUUAAGACAGAUGUGAAAUCCCCGGGCUUAACCUGGGAACUGCAUUUGUGACUGACGGGCUAGAGUAUGGCAGAGGGGGGUAGAAUUCCACGUGUAGCAGUGAAAUGCGUAGAGAUGUGGAGGAAUACCGAUGGCGAAGGCAGCCCCCUGGGCCAAUACUGACGCUCAUGCACGAAAGCGUGGGGAGCAAACAGGAUUAGAUACCCCCGUAGUCCCUGUCUCUUAUAA